GCUUGUUUCUCUGGUAAAUAAGGUCUAUAGGCUACCUAUUGCUGAUAUCAUGUCUUUUCUGUUUUUAGUGUUUAUCAGUUAAAAGUUAAAAAUAAGUUCUCUUUUAAAUAUGCAGGUUAUUUUAAAUAAUUUUGAAUGAUUCCAACUCACUUAAAAUACUCAAAAAGCCACUCAAUGGUAGCCACCAACUGGUGUAAAGAUGUAACCAACAGAAUGAAUUAGUCAAUGAAUCUAAACGAGUCUUUAUGAACAGAAUCGCAAGAUUUGAGAGACUGGUAAUCUGGGAUUAAUCAAAAUCCACACUGCUCACUGUUAUGGCUAUCUCGGGGUUUGUAUUUGAGGAAAUGAACACCGUAAUAUAUCACGCACGGACAUUUGGAGGCCUCGCAUUUGGAGCUGAAUCACGAGACUCUCAAUUCCUGACGCCACUGAAUCGAAUCUUUGUGGAAUCGUUUACUGUCUUGACUCUCGAAUCUGUUCUUUCCCCUCCCCCACUGCCUCGCUUCAGCUCUUCUCUUGCGCGCGCAGCAGCAGAGAGCGUCCGUUAUUUUCUGAGGCUGAGAACUGGUAAGCGUGAAUUCAUAAUACUAUUUUUAAUAACACGUAUGCCAGAACAUAACUUCAAAAUUUCAGUGUUGUAUCUUUUUUUUUUUUUUCAAACUGUAUUUUGUAGCCGUUCGUUCCCGCUCCUGCUCCAUUCAAAUCUUGCGCGCGCUGACAGUGUCCGUUAUUUUCAUCAUAGAGAGAUUUACACCAUAAGGGUCAAAAUCACUAUAAAGUGCCUUUGAGACUUCACAAUUUCCAAAAUAAAAAGUUGAGAUUUUCCAUUUAACUUCAUAUUUGUUGUAUUAAGGAGACCUUAGGCUGUUAGAAAUGCAUGUCAAGCUCCCGCACUUUUUGUAAAUUAACUGCAAGCAGACAAUCUACGAGCAAACCACAAAAUAUGUCCGCCCUGUCAUGGACAAAACCAAAGUAGUUUAAAUAUAUUUUCAUCGCAUAGUGAUUAUAAAAUGUAGAUUUUCAGUAAGAUACUUGGUCCCUUUGUCAACAAUACAUUUUAGUUAAUCAGAAAAGUCUUUUGAUAAUAAUGAAACUACUGAAAAAUAUUUGUUUCCCUAUAAAAUAUGCAAUACUUCUUUUCUAAAUAACAUCUAACAACAAAGAUAUCUGGUUAAACUUUAAAACAAUAUCAACUGGCCCUCUUUUCUUUAUAAAGAAAUCACACAAAAGGUUUUGCUAACUUGUUAAAAUAAUUUGCUAAUUUUCAUAAAAGAUGAAAAUGACAGGGUGGACAAAAAUAUGACAGGGUGGACAACAAAGACUUUAAUUGGUGAAUAAAACAGGAUAAUCAGAGAAACAACAGCAACAAGAAGAAACCCUUAAGCAAUAUAUGAUAUUCUAAGUAUUAAACUAAAACUGCUCACUUUCGUUUCGUUUAAAACCGUGCCUUCUUUCAUAAUGAAUCACCGCUUUGUGUUGCUCAGAGAUGCACUUAACAGUUCUGCUGUGGCUUUGUUUGGAACUAUUUUUGUUGGCAAAAUAGAACAGAAACAGACACUAUUGAUGGUAUUGUGUUUAUUGUUGUUUAUUUUACUGUUGUAUAAAAUAAAUAUCACAUUUUCAAAUCGAGCAGAUAUUCAGGAAAACAGCACUUUUUCUUGUGUGAUUGCUUAACUAUAUCACAUGAUAUAAAUAUAAGACAAAAACCCAUUCAGGGCAUUUUUUUAUCUUCAUAUCUUGAAUUUUAGGCACAUCAUCUUCCAUCACUAUGCAACCGCGUGCAUGUAAGACGGCGUACAGGUCUUAGCCGGGGCAGGGUGCACUAAAUGCGUUAAUUUCGACAUAUUAUUUUUUUCCAUAAUUAUUCACACCAAAUUAACACGUUAAAUUGACAGCCCUAGUGAAAACAUUAUCAGAAUGUGGCAAAAACUAUGCACAUGUCCACCCUGUCAUGGAAGGCUUGAUGACAGGGUGGACAAUGACAGGGUGGAAAUUUUUGGCAAAAUUUUGCAUUUAAUGGACACAUGGUGUACCUUCAGUUAGCAAAGUGAUUCAUUGUUGAAGAUGACAGUGUACUGUUUAAAAUAUAUAUUUUGAAUUUUUUUAUAUUAAUUAAUAUUUCACUAUGACAGGGUGGACAUGCUAAGCUUGACAACAUCCAACUACAAACACAAUAUGAUGAAAAUUAGGAAAUAUAAGUGUAGAUUAGCUGAAGUUAGCUGAGCAGUGUCUGGGACAUGCCAAAACCGCAUACAUCCAAUCAAAGAAAAUGGUAUAAAUUUUAAAAAAAACAUUUCAAGAGACUUGUAAUUGUACUUGUAUGUAUGUAAAUGUUUGGCCACUCAUAAUAAAACCUCAGAAUUUCAUUAUUUUGCAUUAUAUUCAUGAUGACUGAGCAAUUUUGAUGAGGACACCAAAAGGCACUUUAUAGUGAUAAUGACCCACAAGAAGGUAAGUGUGAAUUCACAAAAUAAUUGUAAAUAACAUGUUUACAUAACACAACAUCAAAAGUUUUUCAAUGUUAGCCAGAUCAUUUAUUUCUGAACCGCAUUUUCUAGGCCGCUGCCUUUCAGUUAUUGCGCGCGCUGACAGCGUCCUGUAUUUUCAGAGGUAAACAUCAGACGAAGCGAAGGUAAGCGCAAAUUCAUAAAACAAAAUUAAAUAGAGUAGUUACCAAAACAUAAGAUUAAGUGUUGUUGAUUUAGUGCGUGUAUGUUGUAAAAUUAGUCUAAGGUUAGCUAAAAUUAGCUAGUUUUGUAAAUUGCUAAAGCAACUGCUACAUUCAUUUCUAAGAAGUUACCUAUUAGUAAAAUAUUCACGUUUAUUAAUGCUAGUCUAGCUAGUGUGCUUGAGUUGUUAUCUUAUUUCUCUCUUUGACAAAUCAGCAGACACUUUCUUCUCAACUGUCCACAGAUGCUUCAAAUACAGCACUGAAGGAAUAAAAUAUAUAAUAUUUGUUAAGUGCAGUGUAAAUUUCACACCUGUUGUACUAGUUUAAGUGUAGAAAUCUACAAUUUUGUUAUAUUAUGAUGUAAUUUACUCUCUCUCUCUCUAUGUAUAUAUAUAAUAUAUAUGUGCGUGUGUGUGACUGUUUUUAGGUCGGGUAGUAAAUGCUGCCAUUCUUCUCUAAUAUUGUUGCUCUUCAACGAACACAGUCAUCAGUCAGGAUCCUCCAUUCCCAACUCCAACCAUUCAUCUGAAGGACUGUGGUGAUGGGAACCCUUUGAACCACCAGUGGCAGUUUCCACAGGAUGAGAAAGGACAUGGUAGAGGAUGAUAGACCCCUAUUGAAAUCUCACUGAUGUUAGCCUGCUGUACUGACGGUAUCACACACACAUACAGUUAUGCUCAAAAGUUUACAUCACUUUGCAGAAUCUGAAAAAUCUUAAAGGGUUAGGUCACCCAAAAAUGAAAUCACUCACCCUCAUGUCGUUCCACACCCGUAAGACCUUCAUUCAUCUUCAGAACACAAAUUAAGAUGUUUUUGAUGAAAUCCGAGAGGUAUCUAUAGACAGCAAUAUAAUCAACACUUUCAAGGUCCAGAAAGGUACUAAAGACAUUGUUAAAACUGUCGACGUGACUACAGUGGUUCAACCUUAAUUUAAUGAAGUGACGAGAAUACUUUCAUUUUUGGGUGAAUUAACCCUUUAAUAAACAAAAUAAGAGAGAAUUGUUUUUUUAAUACUGCCCUGAUUAAGCUAUUUUAUUUAACAUAUUUGAAUUUAGUCCAAAUUAUAGCUGAAUUUUUACUGUGUCAUUACCUUGAUGAUCGACAACUGUUCUUUGUUGUGUGAUGGUUGUUCGUGAGUCUCUUGUUUGUUCUGAGCAGUUAAACUGCCCAAUGUUUUUCAGAAAAUCCUCCAGGUUCUGCAGAUUUUUUGGUUUUCCAGUAUAUUUUGCAUAUUAGAACCCUUUCCGAAAGUGACUAUAUGAUGUUGACACUGAGGACAACUGAGGGACUCAAACACAACUCUUACAAACUAAGGGUGAAAACAUUCACUGAUGCCCAAGAAGGAAACACAAUGCAUUAAAUUGUUAGCUAACCCACAAAAAAAAUAAAAUAAAAUGAUGUCGUCAUUUACUCACCCUCAUGUUUUUCCAAACCUGUAUGAGCUUCUUCUGUUGAACACAAAAAGAAGAUAUGUUGGUAAUCAAACAGCUUUGACUUUCAUAGCAGGAAUAUAUAAAUACAGGUAAAUGGCUACCGUCAACUGUUUGAUUACCAACAUUCUUCACAAAUAUCUUCUUUUGUGUUCAACAGAAGAAACUCAUACAGGUUUGGAAAAACAUGAGGGAUGACAACAUUUUCAUUUCUGGGAGAGCCAAGGUGUGUCAACUUUUUGAAAACAAUGAUCAGGUAUAAUUCAUUAUAAUAUAAUUCAAUUCAAGUAUAUUCAUUAAUGUUUUUGGUUUUAAUGGACAGUUUUAAUUGUUUCAAUUUUAUUCACUUUGUUUAUUCAGUUUAAUGUUUUGCUUAAAGUGUCUAAUAUUGUUUGCAAAAUAUUUAAAACCUUUUUCCUCAAUGUAAAUGAUUAGGUGAAUGUUGCAGUCCUGCUGUUUGUUGAAACUAUUUACAGUUUACUGAAAAAUAAAACUGAGUUUUAUUGA